GCCUCGUUAGCUCAUUUGGUGUAGAGCGACGCUCUUGUAAAGCGUAGGUGGUCGGUUCGAAACCGACACGAGGCUC
rnacentral:tRNA from 3 species